rnacentral:rRNA from 1 species
UGGGGAAUUUUCCGCAAUGGGCGAAAGCCUGACGGAGCAAUACCGCGUGAGGGAGGAAGGCUCUUGGGUUGUAAACCUCUUUUCUCAGGGAAGAACAAAAAUGACGGUACCUGAGGAAUAAGCAUCGGCUAACUCCGUGCCAGCAGCCGCGGUAAUACGGAGGAUGCAAGCGUUAUCCGGAAUUAUUGGGCGUAAAGCGUCCGCAGGUGGCAAUUCAAGUCUGCUGUCAAAGGUUCUGGCUCAACCAGGAACAGGCAGUGGAAAACUGAAUAGCUAGAGUGCGGUAGGGGCAGAGGGAAUUCCAGUGUAGCGGUGAAAUGGCGUAGAGAUUGGGAAGAACACCGGUGGCGAAAGCGCUCUGCUAGGGCCGUAAACUGACACUCAUGGACGAAAGCUAGGGGGAGCGAAUGGGGAUUAAGAUACCCCCAGUAGUCCUAGCCGUAAAACGAU